AACAAAAGUUAAAGUUUAUAUGCAAAAUACAAUGCUGUCAACUUUGACAUGGUUUGGUAUUUUAAUUAUAAUUAAUUGUACAAAUUAGAUAUUAAGUUGAUUCUUUUUCCAUUAGAAAGUAGACUCGAAUAGCUUCGAUUCGAGUACUUAUACGCGUAAUUCCGACAUCGGGAAGGGGUUCAACCGGACUGACAAAGUUGUCAAAAUCAGACUCACUCGCUGUACGCGUUUUGGACGCGUUUUGGACGCGUUUUGACUCAGUAAACGCGUUUUACUAUUUAAACACGUUUUUCUGGUUAUUUAAGAGGGUUUUGGGGCUGAGAGAAUUCCUAAGUUGAAUCUGAGAACUGUUACCUAAAAGCAUUGGACCAGAGAAGUUUUAGAGCUAAGUUUGGAGCCACGAGAAGGAAUUCUAAGGCAGAGGAACGUCGGGGAACCGUUUGAAAGCAAGCUUAGGAGAAAACCAAGUCGGUGAUAUGCCGGUGGAGCAAGCCUUAGAUGGAGGAUCGACUGAAGAAUAGUUUUAAUAUUGAAACCUAUGUUUUUAUUUCUGUUUUAAGGUGUGGAGUGUAAUUAGUUUGAAUUAACAGUGAGGGUUUGUAUAAUAAUGAGGAAAACUCUUAUUCCUCCUUCUAUCAACUGUUCUAUUGUAUCAAUGAUGUAAGAACUCUAUUAUAGUUUGAUGCUAUAAUUAUGGGGAUGUUACAAUAUA